GUGCUCGCUUCGGCAGCACAUGUACUAAAAUUGGAACGAUACAGAGAAAAUUAGCAUGGCCCCUGUGCAAGGAUGACGUGCGAAUUCAUGAAGCGUUCCAUGUUUUU